UUCACUGGAGACUGGAGAGGACGACGACCUCUCCGGUAGUCCGGUUCAGGAUGUCGAUGCCGAUCGAGGUGGUAGAGAGCAAGUGGGUGAUGAACUCGCCGCCCUGCGACACGACAGGCGCUGCAAGUGCGCCUGCACAUCGCCGUACGCCGCGGCGUAGAGGAGCAUCCUAUCUGCACCCAGAGACGCGCCAGCAGUCCAGCACCUCCCAGGGGUGGUCGCCAUGGCGCUGCCAUCGAUCGUGUUGAUCCAGCUAGGAUCCUCUCUCCCUAUCCGUGUGCGUUCCUGCUCCUUGAGGAAGCCUUACAGAUCGAGGCUUCCCGCUCUCUGGAGGAUGCAGCAAGUAUAAAGAUUACCACGAGGGGAGAUUAUUUUUCACCCUGUGUACCCGCCGGCCCCGCUCGUCACUCCCCGUCCGACGUACACGCACGCAAGGUCCGCUCCCUCCCCGCCUGUGACGCCGCUCCCGUCCUCGUCAUCCAUCCAUGCCACCGACGAGCCAAAGAGGAAGCCUACGUAUCGUCGGUGAUUUGGCGGCGUCGCGACAGGCCCUGCGCAGCCGGCGGUCAGCGACGAGCGGCCGAGGGCCCGUAGCUGGGAGUAGGCCGGCGGCCGGCGGCGCGUUGUCGAGGGCCCGAGCGGGGAAGGGGCCGGCAACCGGCGGCGUGCGGCCGAGGGCUCAUCGCCCAGAGUGGGGAGGAGGCAGCCAGCCGGCGGCGCGGAGGACAUCAGCCCCGGCGUGUUCAAUCAGACGGCGACGCCACGCGCACACCCGACCUGGCGGAGGCGGAGAGGCCCCGCCGCGGCUGCGCCUGUGCCGACCGACUGACCGGAUCGCCGGCGGCGACGGCGGCGAAGGAGGAGCAAGGAGGCCGGUAGGAGUGGAAGGCAAGGCGUCCUACUUCUCAUACACAGCCUCCAUCCAUCCCUCCCCUGCGGCGCCAGCACCAUCCCCCGUGCCAUCUCUCAUCUCUCCCUACUCUUCCACCUGAUAGACAUGAAGGUGGCGUGAUGGAGAUGAGAGAUGAACGGGGCAUAUCCCUCUAUUCCUGCAUCUCGAUAGGGAAGAAGAGAAGUAGAAACAGAGGGUUUGAAGAUAUAGAUAGAUGCUGCUGCUGGGGAUUGGAUUUUGAGCCUUCAGUGAUGGAGAUCCAUGGCUGUAGGUUGCUGGAAUGCCUGCAAGCUGCUCGAUGAAAUGCAACUUCAAAGAUUAAAAUAGACUGAUUUCUAUAUUGUUCUUUGCUGCAAUAUUGUUACAAGAAUUUGGCUAUCUCAUUCCCAGGUACCUUUCUCCAUGGUGUGGUGGCAUGCCUGUCUGCUGUGGCCUCACUAGGUUGGUGGAUCGGUAGCAUCCCAAACAAUGAUGAUACGUGCUGCUGAUUUUCUUUUUGUUGAUUCAAGCUUUUAGAUACUAAUAAUCCGUAUCAUCCUUUGUCUAAAGCUGGCUGGAUGCAGAGGGGUUUCCUGGUUUCGACAUAAUGUUUUGUAUGUGUUGGAUUUUAAAGUGCAGUGGCUUCCAAUCAUAGCAGCCUGGAGAACUAAAUGUGCAACAAGAACUUUCCGGGGUUAACCAUAUGUGGAUACUUCCCCACAGGUAAGGCCUAUGUGCUUAAUUUGCAUUACCUUUGCGCAACCUAAUAUAUAUGGAAUCUCAAGGCAACUUCAGUAAUGGACCAUCGUGUUCUGCUUGGAGAUAUGGCAAACACGGUUCAAUGUCAAAUGGACUCGAUGGUGAUGAUUUGUUGAGAAUAUGGAUGAAGGAGGAUGGACGCACGACAUGGUGACCUGCUUGUUGAGGCAUAUAGCUGCUGUCAAUGUGGAUAUAUGUUUCAUUUCCUGGGAAGUGAUGUAGUGAUGAUGCCCUGACUGUUUGACUACAGUUUGGUUGAAAGGAAGGAAAGCACGGCAUGAUCCAUACCAAUUGAAAUUAUGUUUUGUAUUGGAAUAUUUCAGACGCUUGUGGAUGCAUCCUGGAACUUAAGAUGAAGAGUCAGUAUCUGACCGGUUCUUCAUCAGAACAUGUAUGCAUAUCAGGUUAAAACAAAAGGGAUUAUAUUUUGUAGUCUUUGUAAGUUGGUUUUCCACUGAACUAUCCUACAGAUUGUUGCUACUACAGUUAUUGUUUCGGUUCUCAUUGUUAACAUUCUUUUACUGAUUAGUGAUUAGUGAUCUGAUUACCA